rnacentral:rRNA from 1 species
AUUGAGCGCUGGCGGCAGGCCUAACACAUGCAAGUCGAGCGGUAGAGAGAAGCUUGCUUCUCUUGAGAGCGGCGGACGGGUGAGUAAUGCCUAGGAAUCUGCCUGGUAGUGGGGGAUAACGUCCGGAAACGGACGCUAAUACCGCAUACGUCCUACGGGAGAAAGCAGGGGACCUUCGGGCCUUGCGCUAUCAGAUGAGCCUAGGUCGGAUUAGCUAGUUGGUGAGGUAAUGGCUCACCAAGGCGACGAUCCGUAACUGGUCUGAGAGGAUGAACGGUCACACUGGAACUGAGACACGGUCCAGACUCCUACGGGAGGCAGCAGUGGGGAAUAUUGGACAAUGUGCGAAAGCCUGGUCCAGCCAUGCCGCGGGUGUGAAGAAGAUCUUCGGAUUGUAAAGCACUUUAAGUUGGGAGGAAGGGCAGUAAGUUAAUACCUUGCUGUUUUGACGUUACCGACAGAAUAAGCACCGGCUAACUCUGUGCCAGCCGCCGCCGUAAUAC